UGGGGAAUUUUGGACAAUGGGCGAAAGCCUGAUCCAGCCAUGCCGCGUGCAGGAUGAAGGCCUUCGGGUUGUAAACUGCUUUUGUACGGAACGAAAAGACUCUGGUUAAUACCUGGGGUCCAUGACGGUACCGUAAGAAUAAGCACCGGCUAACUACGUGCCAGCAGCCGCGGUAAUACGUAGGGUGCAAGCGUUAAUCGGAAUUACUGGGCGUAAAGCGUGCGCAGGCGGUUAUAUAAGACAGAUGUGAAAUCCCCGGGCUCAACCUGGGAACUGCAUUUGUGACUGUAUAGCUAGAGUACGGCAGAGGGGGAUGGAAUUCCGCGUGUAGCAGUGAAAUGCGUAGAUAUGCGGAGGAACACCGAUGGCGAAGGCAAUCCCCUGGGCCUGUACUGACGCUCAUGCACGAAAGCGUGGGGAGCAAACAGGAUUAGAUACCCUGGUNGUCCACGCCCAUAACGAUGNCAACUGGUUGUUGGGUCUUCACUGACUC
rnacentral:rRNA from 1 species